GGGUUGUGAGGUUAAGCGACUAAGCGUACACGGUGGAUGCCCUGGCAGUCAGAGGCGAUGAAGGACGUGCUAAUCUGCGAUAAGCGUCGGUGAGGUGAUAUGAACCGUUAUAACCGGCGAUUUCCGAAUGGGGAAACCCAGUGUGUUUCGACACACUAUCAUUAACUGAAUCCAUAGGUUAAUGAGGCGAACCGGGGGAACUGAAACAUCUAAGUACCCCGAGGAAAAGAAAUCAACCGAGAUUCCCCCAGUAGCGGCGAGCGAACGGGGAGGAGCCCAGAGCCUGAAUCAGUGUGUGUGUUAGUGGAAGCGUCUGGAAAGGCGUGCGAUACAGGGUGACAGCCCCGUACACAAAAAUGCACAUAUUGUGAGCUCGAUGAGUAGGGCGGGACACGUGGUAUCCUGUCUGAAUAUGGGGGGACCAUCCUCCAAGGCUAAAUACUCCUGACUGACCGAUAGUGAACCAGUACCGUGAGGGAAAGGCGAAAAGAACCCCGGCGAGGGGAGUGAAAAAGAACCUGAAACCGUGUACGUACAAGCAGUGGGAGCCUCUUAAUGGGGUGACUGCGUACCUUUUGUAUAAUGGGUCAGCGACUUAUAUUCUGUAGCAAGGUUAACCGAAUAGGGGAGCCGAAGGGAAACCGAGUCUUAACUGGGCGUUAAGUUGCAGGGUAUAGACCCGAAACCCGGUGAUCUAGCCAUGGGCAGGUUGAAGGUUGGGUAACACUAACUGGAGGACCGAACCGACUAAUGUUGAAAAAUUAGCGGAUGACUUGUGGCUGGGGGUGAAAGGCCAAUCAAACCGGGAGAUAGCUGGUUCUCCCCGAAAGCUAUUUAGGUAGCGCCUCGUGAAUUCAUCUCCGGGGGUAGAGCACUGUUUCGGCAAGGGGGUCAUCCCGACUUACCAACCCGAUGCAAACUGCGAAUACCGGAGAAUGUUAUCACGGGAGACACACGGCGGGUGCUAACGUCCGUCGUGAAGAGGGAAACAACCCAGACCGCCAGCUAAGGUCCCAAAGUCAUGGUUAAGUGGGAAACGAUGUGGGAAGGCCCAGACAGCCAGGAUGUUGGCUUAGAAGCAGCCAUCAUUUAAAGAAAGCGUAAUAGCUCACUGGUCGAGUCGGCCUGCGCGGAAGAUGUAACGGGGCUAAACCAUGCACCGAAGCUGCGGCAGCGACGCUUAUGCGUUGUUGGGUAGGGGAGCGUUCUGUAAGCCUGUGAAGGUGUGCUGUGAGGCAUGCUGGAGGUAUCAGAAGUGCGAAUGCUGACAUAAGUAACGAUAAAGCGGGUGAAAAGCCCGCUCGCCGGAAGACCAAGGGUUCCUGUCCAACGUUAAUCGGGGCAGGGUGAGUCGACCCCUAAGGCGAGGCCGAAAGGCGUAGUCGAUGGGAAACAGGUUAAUAUUCCUGUACUUGGUGUUACUGCGAAGGGGGGACGGAGAAGGCUAUGUUGGCCGGGCGACGGUUGUCCCGGUUUAAGCGUGUAGGCUGGUUUUCCAGGCAAAUCCGGAAAACCAAGGCUGAGGCGUGAUGACGAGGCACUACGGUGCUGAAGCGACAAAUGCCCUGCUUCCAGGAAAAGCCUCUAAGCAUCAGGUAACAUCAAAUCGUACCCCAAACCGACACAGGUGGUCAGGUAGAGAAUACCAAGGCGCUUGAGAGAACUCGGGUGAAGGAACUAGGCAAAAUGGUGCCGUAACUUCGGGAGAAGGCACGCUGAUAUGUAGGUGAAGCGACUUGCUCGUGGAGCUGAAAUCAGUCGAAGAUACCAGCUGGCUGCAACUGUUUAUUAAAAACACAGCACUGUGCAAACACGAAAGUGGACGUAUACGGUGUGACGCCUGCCCGGUGCCGGAAGGUUAAUUGAUGGGGUUAGCGGUAACGCGAAGCUCUUGAUCGAAGCCCCGGUAAACGGCGGCCGUAACUAUAACGGUCCUAAGGUAGCGAAAUUCCUUGUCGGGUAAGUUCCGACCUGCACGAAUGGCGUAAUGAUGGCCAGGCUGUCUCCACCCGAGACUCAGUGAAAUUGAACUCGCUGUGAAGAUGCAGUGUACCCGCGGCAAGACGGAAAGACCCCGUGAACCUUUACUAUAGCUUGACACUGAACAUUGAGCCUUGAUGUGUAGGAUAGGUGGGAGGCUUUGAAGUGUGGACGCCAGUCUGCAUGGAGCCGACCUUGAAAUACCACCCUUUAAUGUUUGAUGUUCUAACGUUGGCCCGUAAUCCGGGUUGCGGACAGUGUCUGGUGGGUAGUUUGACUGGGGCGGUCUCCUCCUAAAGAGUAACGGAGGAGCACGAAGGUUGGCUAAUCCUGGUCGGACAUCAGGAGGUUAGUGCAAUGGCAUAAGCCAGCUUGACUGCGAGCGUGACGGCGCGAGCAGGUGCGAAAGCAGGUCAUAGUGAUCCGGUGGUUCUGAAUGGAAGGGCCAUCGCUCAACGGAUAAAAGGUACUCCGGGGAUAACAGGCUGAUACCGCCCAAGAGUUCAUAUCGACGGCGGUGUUUGGCACCUCGAUGUCGGCUCAUCACAUCCUGGGGCUGAAGUAGGUCCCAAGGGUAUGGCUGUUCGCCAUUUAAAGUGGUACGCGAGCUGGGUUUAGAACGUCGUGAGACAGUUCGGUCCCUAUCUGCCGUGGGCGCUGGAGAACUGAGGGGGGCUGCUCCUAGUACGAGAGGACCGGAGUGGACGCAUCACUGGUGUUCGGGUUGUCAUGCCAAUGGCACUGCCCGGUAGCUAAAUGCGGAAGAGAUAAGUGCUGAAAGCAUCUAAGCACGAAACUUGCCCCGAGAUGAGUUCUCCCUGAGACUUAGAGUCUCCUGAAGGAACGUUGAAGACGACGACGUUGAUAGGCCGGGUGUGUAAGCGCAGCGAUGCGUUGAGCUAACCGGUACUAAUGAACCGUGAGGCUUAACCUUACAACGCCGAAG
rnacentral:rRNA from 1 species